rnacentral:lncRNA from 1 species
GCCGGGCUCCGCGCCCGCCAGCGCUGCUCCCUCCCAGCGCGGAGACGCCGCGCCCGGCCGGGACAGCCGGGGACGGUGGCGGAGAGCACGGAGAGUAAUUAAGCAAUUAGCGACGUGUUGUUAAAAGAUGGAGCAACUCAACCCAAAAAGGUUGGUCUGUAUGGUGACGGAAUGUGGUCUCCCAGUUUUCAGCACAGCACUCAUUCAGCUAUUCUGCUCUUCAGAAAGCAGGAGGGAUGUGCCCUAAGGUGGACUAUUGAAAUGAUGAAAGCCACUGAGGAAGAGCCAGAGAAUUCUCGUAGCUGUGAUUAGACAUCAACCUUGGGCAUGCUAAACAUUUCAGCCUGGACACCCUGAGAAGAGCCAGUGCCACUGGUGACAGCUGCUUCUGUGCGGGCUUUUGCUUGGCCAGAGAGGCAGGACCUUCUCCCUGGCAUUUUGAGGAGUGGUGCCGGGUGGGCAGUGACUGCACUAGCAACAGUCUAUACCAAGAGAAGACCUCAAAUUCCCAGAGAAGAAAGGCAGCGAGGCCAAGAAAUGCUGCCGCCGCUUAACAAGUGAAGAUGCAUACUGGAGAAUAGGAACUGAACACGCGAAGGAGUUUCGGCUUUACUGCCUUCUCUCCUAGCAUUGAACAGAUCUUCUCUGCUGUUGAUUAUUCUCCAUGAAUCAUCAUCCAUAGAAAGUGACUGAGGCAAUAGAGAGUGAAUAAUGAAUCUCUCAAAUAGUCUUUUGUGUUUCUGCCUGGAGGGUUUUGGAAAUAACUUGCAUCUUAAUCUUUCUGACUUAGAAUCAUAGAAUUUGGGAGCUGAAAAGGACCUUCAUCAGGGCAUGUGGCCUCACAGAAAGACUGGAAGAAAAGAUUUGUGGGUAUGAGCCUCUGGUUCAUCACUAAAAAUAGGCCUAGUCUAACAUAUAUUGGAGGCUUUCCUUGUGUCAGGUACUCAUUUAUUCUUCCAAAACCUUGGGAGGUAGGUGCUGCUAUUCCUCCAUUCUGCAGAGGAGGAAGAGAUGAGGAGACAGUAGAUCACCAGAGGGCAGUGUGAGGGGUGUGCUGGAACCAUCAUGUGGAACUGGCUCUGGUUCCAGAAUCCACAUCCUCUCGGUCAUUCCACUCCCACAUCAAGUGGCUUUGGACAAGUAAUUUAACUUCUUUGGAUCUCAGUUUUCUCCUCCGUGAUCUCUAAAGUUUAAAAAUUACUAACAGUCUGCAUCUGCCACCCAAGCAUGUGAUUUUACAAGUCAGAAAAGUGUAGCGCAGAAAUGUUAAGUGACCUGCCCUAGGUCACCCAGGUUGCUAAGGGCAGAAUCAGCACAGAAACCCAGGCCCAGUGACCACUGCCCCCAGGCAAGACCUCCUUCCCUUCCACUGCACUUUGGCAGGUGUUCUAGGGGAAUCCAACUCCUUGCCUUAGAGGAGACCUGUUCAAUGAUAUCAGAUAGACUGGAGAUGUUACGUUUUGGUGUGGCCAAUCACAACACCAGGAUGAGCUUAGGAGGCUGGUGAUAUUUGUCUAUCUAAGCACCCCCAACCUAUCUAUCUGUCUGCUGUUUGUCUAUCUUUCUCAGGUUAUGCAUAGUGACCAAACCCCGCCUGGUAACUGUAGGGAAAGAGCAUGACUGGUGUGUUACAGCUACACACGCCCCCUGGUGGUAUUUCCAGUUGUUUGUCCUCUUCAUGCAAAUGUUGCCACCUUGUGCCAGCUCUCUCACCUAGCUUCCUUCAUGACGACAGUGGUUGCAAUUCUGCUCCUCUCUCUGCCUUCCCCUGUCCUUGGCUCCCCAUGUCCAGAAUCUGAUCAUUUACUGGUGUGCACCCUGGGAUGUGAUGUGUGCUUUGGGAGGAGACAGGACCCAACAGUAUCUCAGCUGUGCUCUGGUAAUCAGUGUGCACCACAUUACAAGCAUCCUCAUCCCAGUAUCCUCCCUAUUGAAAAAGAAAUGGGAAAGGGGUGGAUGUGUCAAUAAACACAACAUUGAAGGCAUCUGAAAUAGAACAAGGACAUCCUGGGUGAGGCAUUAUUCACAAUGUGUAUCCAUAUAUGUGUGUGAGUGUGUGUGUGUGUGUGUGGUUCAGACAGUCUGAAAUGAGCUCUCACCCACUGGUGAGUGGAAAAUUAGCUUUGGCAGGUG